AACGAACGCUGGCGGCAGGCUUAACACAUGCAAGUCGAACGCCCCGCAAGGGGAGUGGCAGAUGGGUGAGUAACGCGUGGGAAUCUACCCAGAUCUUCGGAACAACUGAGGGAAACUUCAGCUAAUACCGGAUACGCCCUACGGGGGAAAGAUUUAUCGGUUCUGGUUGAGCCCGCGUUGGAUUAGCUAGUUGGUGAGGUAACGGCUCACCAAGGCGACGAUCCAUAGCUGGUCUGAGAGGAUGAUCAGCCACACUGGGACUGAGACACGGCCCAGACUCCUACGGGAGGCAGCAGUGGGGAAUAUUGGACAAUGGGCGAAAGCCUGAUCCAGCCAUGCCGCGUGAGUGAUGAAGGCCUUAGGGUUGUAAAGCUCUUUCAGUGGGGAAGAUAAUGACGGUACCCACAGAAGAAGCCCCGGCUAACUUCGUGCCAGCCGCCGCCGUAAUAC
rnacentral:rRNA from 1 species